GACGAACGCUGGCGGCGUGCUUAACACAUGCAAGUCAGGGAGAAAGGGGUAGCAAUAUCCCUAGUAAACCGGCGAACGGGUGCGUAACACGUAGGCAGCCUUCCUUAUGGACGGGAAUAACCCCGGGAAACCGGGGCUAAUACCCGAAGUGAUACGGGUGCAGCAUUGUAGCCGUAUCAAAGGCUCCAAAAGAGCGCCAUAAGAUGGGCCUGCGUCCCAUUAGAUAGUUGGCGGGGUAAUGGCCCACCAAGUCAACGAUGGGUAGCUGGUCUGAGAGGACGAUCAGCCACACUGGAACUGCGACACGGUCCAGACUUCUACGGGAGGCAGCAGUAGGGAAUCUUCCACAAUGGACGAAAGUCUGAUGGAGCAACGCCGCGUGAGCGAUGAAGGCCUUCGGGUCGUAAAGCUCUGUUGUUAGGGAAGAACAAGUACCGGAGUAACUGCCGGUACCUUGACGGUACCUAACCAGAAAGCCACGGCUAACUACGUGCCAGCAGCCGCCGUAAGAC
rnacentral:rRNA from 1 species